GACGAACGCUGGCGGCGCGCCUAACACAUGCAAGUCGAACGGAGACACUCUGUUCACUGAAUGGUAGGAAGGCGGCGUGUCAGUAUGGGACGUCGCGUUUUCUACUGUUGAGUGAAUAGAGUGUCUUAGUGGCGGACGGGUGAGUAACGCGUGAGCAACCUGCCAUACAGUGGGGAAUAACACACCGAAAGGUGUGCUAAUACCGCAUGAUGUGUCGAGAUCGCAUGGUCUUGGCACCAAAGAUUUAUCGCUGUAUGAUGGGCUCGCGUCUGAUUAGAUAGUUGGUGAGGUAACGGCUCACCAAGUCGACGAUCAGUAGCCGGACUGAGAGGUUGAACGGCCACAUUGGGACUGAGACACGGCCCAGACUCCUACGGGAGGCAGCAGUGGGGGAUAUUGCACAAUGGGCGCAAGCCUGAUGCAGCGACGCCGCGUGAGGGAAGACGGUCUUCGGAUUGUAAAC
rnacentral:rRNA from 1 species